CUUUGCUACUUCUCUUAUUUUCUUUUCUCUUCAGCCUUUUCAUAAGCUCCGACAAGUCUAGGGUAUAUUCUUGGAGAAACCAGAAAGAAGACUCGGUCCCUCCCAUUUCUAGUUCUCCGUCUAGUUGCCAGGAAAUCUUAACCCCUAUUCCUAUUUCAAUAGUUAACCCAGUAGAUCUAGAGCGCCUUGUGAUUAUGGAAUCAGAUCGUGAUGGUUCGAGAGGAGAGGAGGUCGGCUCCUACGCGGGUAGUGAGAGGAAUAACCCUGAGGAGUGGGAGGCAAACUCAUAUAAGUCGAUUGUAACAGGUGAUUUGUUAGCGAGCUGGCAAGCUAGGUAUGACAUUUCGAGCUUGAUAAUAAUGAUAAUCCCUAAACCUUCUGACCCCGCACUAACGCUUCCCCAAGGAGAUGUGUUCUCUGAAUUCGACCAUUUUACAUACCGAGCUUAGACUGCCCAUUUCUAGAGUCAUUCAUAAGUUCCUAUCCUUUUGGGGUAUAGCUUCCACUUAGCUAUGCCCCAACAGGUGGUAAACUUUAAUCAUCCCCUUAAUCUUGUGGAAUAGGUUAGGAAAUCCCGAGCUGAGUGCAACGCAGUUUAAUUCCCUUUUCACAUUCAAGAAGGAUGGAAUCGGUUGUUGGCAUACCAGUGUUAGGCCGAGGAUGGGUGAUUCCUUAGUGCUGGACACUCCCUCCUCCAUCAAGAAGUGGAAGGAGAAAUUCUUUUACGUGUCAGGAGAGUGGUAGUUUCACCUGUCGAAGUGAAUAGGGAGGAUGGUCCCCAUACUCUACCAUUCUUUAUAUUACAGGAAGGCGACUUUGAAAAAGGACACUCAGAGAUGAGCUGAGGAGAUAAGGGCCUUGCUGAAGAGACAGAGUUCCUGUAAGUACGUGAUCUCGAAUUCCAACCUCUUCCGAGUGUGUUUAAUCCAAACAAGAGUCCUAAGUCCGUCCAUGGUUGGAACAUUGACUUCCAUCCCAGCUAGUUCAACUCAUAAUCCAGAAAUGCUGGGAUAUAAGCCAACUAAGGUAGCAACUGCUUCUGCUAAAGGGAACAAGAGAGAGGUUCCAUCGGUGGUGAGCUUAGCUUCAGAGAAGACAGGGAAGGACGUCCAACCUC